AUGCAAGUCGAACGCACAGCGAAGGGUGCUUGCACCUUUCAAGUGAGUGGCGAACGGGUGAGUAACACGUGGACAACCUGCCUCAAGGCUGGGGAUAACAUUUGGAAACAGAUGCUAAUACCGAAUAAAACUUAGUGUCGCAUGACAAAAAGUUAAAAGGCGCUUCGGCGUCACCUAGAGAUGGAUCCGCGGUGCAUUAGUUAGUUGGUGGGGUAAAGGCCUACCAAGACAAUGAUGCAUAGCCGAGUUGAGAGACUGAUCGGCCACAUUGGGACUGAGACACGGCCCAAACUCCUACGGGAGGCUGCAGUAGGGAAUCUUCCACAAUGGGCGAAAGCCUGAUGGAGCAACGCCGCGUGUGUGAUGAAGGCUUUCGGGUCGUAAAGCACUGUUGUAUGGGAAGAACAGCUAGAAUAGGAAAUGAUUUUAGUUUGACGGUACCAUACCAGAAAGGGACGGCUAAAUACGUGCCAGCAGCCGCGGUAAUACGUAUGUCCCGAGCGUUAUCCGGAUUUAUUGGGCGUAAAGCGAGCGCAGACGGUUUAUUAAGUCUGAUGUGAAAGCCCGGAGCUCAACUCCGGAAUGGCAUUGGAAACUGGUUAACUUGAGUGCAGUAGAGGUAAGUGGAACUCCAUGUGUAGCGGUGGAAUGCGUAGAUAUAUGGAAGAACACCAGUGGCGAAGGCGGCUUACUGGACUGCAACUGACGUUGAGGCUCGAAAGUGUGGGUAGCAAACAGGAUUAGAUACCCUGGUAGUCCACACCGUAAACGAUGAACACUAGGUGUUAGGAGGUUUCCGCCUCUUAGUGCCGAAGCUAACGCAUUAAGUGUUCCGCCUGGGGAGUACGACCGCAAGGUUGAAACUCAAAGGAAUUGACGGGGACCCGCACAAGCGGUGGAGCAUGUGGUUUAAUUCGAAGCAACGCGAAGAACCUUACCAGGUCUUGACAUCCUUUGAAGCUUUUAGAGAUAGAAGUGUUCUCUUCGGAGACAAAGUGACAGGUGGUGCAUGGUCGUCGUCAGCUCGUGUCGUGAGAUGUUGGGUUAAGUCCCGCAACGAGCGCAACCCUUAUUGUUAGUUGCCAGCAUUCAGAUGGGCACUCUAGCGAGACUGCCGGUGACAAACCGGAGGAAGGGGGGG
rnacentral:rRNA from 1 species